UACGUAGGGUGCGAGCGUUGUCCGGAAUUAUUGGACGUAAAGGGCUCGUAGGCGGUUUGUCGCGUCGGGAGUGAAAACCUCGGGCUUAACUCGGGGCUUGCUUUCGAUACGGGCAGACUAGAGGUAUGCAGGGGAGAACGGAAUUCCUGGUGUAGCGGUGAAAUGCGCAGAUAUCAGGAGGAACACCGGUGGCGAAGGCGGGUCUCUGGGCAACAACUGACGCUGAGGAGCGAAAGCGUGGGGAGCGAACAGG
rnacentral:rRNA from 1 species